rnacentral:rRNA from 1 species
UACGAAGGGUGCAAGCGUUGUCCGGAAUUAUUGGGCGUAAAGAGCUCGUAGGCGGUUUGUCGCGUCGAAUGUGAAAACCCGGGGCUCAACCCCGGGCCUGCAUUCGAUACGGGCAGGCUAGAGUGUGGUAGGGGAGAUCGGAAUUCCUGGUGUAGCGGUGAAAUGCGCAGAUAUCAGGAGGAACACCGGUGGCGAAGGCGGAUCUCUGGGCCAUUACUGACGCUGAGGAGCGAAAGCGUGGGGAGCGAACAGG